rnacentral:rRNA from 1 species
UAAGGAAUAUUGGUCAAUGGACGCAAGUCUGAACCAGCCAUGCCGCGUGAAGGAUGAAGGUCCUCUGGAUUGUAAACUUCUUUUAUAGGGGGCGAAAAAAGGUUUUUCUAAAUCACUUGACAGUACCCUAUGAAUAAGCACCGGCUAACUCCGUGCCAGCAGCCGCGGUAAUACGGAGGGUGCAAGCGUUAUCCGGAUUCACUGGGUUUAAAGGGUGCGUAGGCGGGUAGGUAAGUCAGAGGUGAAAUCCUGGAGCUUAACUCCAGAACUGCCUUUGAUACUAUCUAUCUUGAAUAUGGUGGAGGUAAGCGGAAUAUGUCAUGUAGCGGUGAAAUGCAUAGAUAUGACAUAGAACACCUAUUGCGAAGGCAGCUUACUACGCCUAUAUUGACGCUGAGGC